rnacentral:rRNA from 1 species
UACGUAGGGGGCAAGCGUUGUCCGGAAUCAUUGGGCGUAAAGAGCGUGUAGGCGGCCAGAAAAGUCCGCUGUGAAAACUCGAGGCUCAACUUCGAGCUGUCGGUGGAAACUUUCUGGCUAGAGUCUGGAAGAGGAGAAUGGAAUUCCUGGUGUAGCGGUGAAAUGCGCAGAUAUCAGGAAGAACACCCGUGGCGAAGGCGGUUCUCUGGGACGGUACUGACGCUGAGACGCGAAAGCGUGGGGAGCGAACAGG